rnacentral:rRNA from 1 species
GAUGAACGCUGGCGGCGUGCCUAAUACAUGCCAGUCGAGCGAACAGAUGAGGAGCUUGCUCCUCUGACGUUAGCGGCGGACGGGUGAGUAACACGUGGAUAACCUACCUAUAAGACUGGGAUAACUUCGGGAAACCGGAGCUAAUACCGGAUAAUAUAUUGAACCGCAUGGUUCAAUAGUGAAAGACGGUUUUGCUGUCACUUAUAGAUGGAUCCGCGCCGCAUUAGCUAGUUGGUAAGGUAACGGCUUACCAAGGCGACGAUGCGUAGCCGACCUGAGAGGGUGAUCGGCCACACUGGAACUGAGACACGGUCCAGACGCCUACGGGAGGCAGCAGUAGGGAAUCUUCCGCAAUGGGCGAAAGCCUGACGGAGCAACGCCGCGUGAGUGAUGAAGGUCUUCGGAUCGUAAAACUCUGUUAUUAGGGAAGAACAAAUGUGUAAGUAACUAUGCACGUCUUGACGGUACCUAAUCAGAAAGCCACGGCUAACUACGUG